rnacentral:rRNA from 1 species
AUUGAACGCUGGCGGCAUGCCUUACACAUGCAAGUCGAACGGCAGCACGGGAGCAAUCCUGGUGGCGAGUGGCGAACGGGUGAGUAAUAUAUCGGAACGUGCCCAGUAGUGGGGGAUAACUGCUCGAAAGAGCAGCUAAUACCGCAUACGACCUGAGGGUGAAAGGGGGGGAUCGCAAGACCUCUCGCUAUUGGAGCGGCCGAUAUCAGAUUAGCUAGUUGGUGGGGUAAAGGCCUACCAAGGCAAGGAUCUGUAGUUGGUCUGAGAGGACGGCGAGCCACACUGGGACUGAGACACGGCCCAGACUCCUACGGGAGGCAGCAGUGGGGAAUUUUGGACAAUGGGCGCAAGCCUGAUCCAGCAAUGCCGCGUGCAGGAAGAAGGCCUUCGGGUUGUAAACUGCUUUUGUCAGGGAAGAAAUCCUCUAGGUUAAUACCCUUGGGGGGAUGACGGUACCUGAAGAAUAAGCACCGGCUAACUACGUGCCAGCAGCCGCCGUAACAC